CGAUAGCUCAGUUGGUAGAGCAGAGGACUGAAAAUCCUCGUGUCGCUGGUUCGAUUCCGGCUCUGGG
rnacentral:tRNA from 1 species